AGGAGCUUGAUUUGUACGAUAUUCUUUCUUUUGACGCUGAAUUAGGGAAGACUUUGCAAGAGUUACAAGCUCUUGUUAGUCGAAAGCAAUAUAUAGAAUCUAUGGAAGAUCAGAACCAAGACAAAUUUUAUGAUGUGCAUUUCCACGGGACACCAAUUGAGGAUCUAUGUUUAGAUUUCACACUUCCCGGCUAUCCUGAAUAUGUUCUUAAAGCAGGCGAUGAGAAUGUAAAUUUUUAUGACGUGCAUUUCCAUGGGACACCAAUUGAGGAUCUAUGUUUGGAUUUCACACUUCCCGGCUAUCCUGAAUACGUUCUUAAAGUAGGCGAUGAGAAUGU
rnacentral:lncRNA from 1 species